rnacentral:rRNA from 1 species
CCUACGGGGGGCUGCAGUGGGAAUAUUGGACAAUGGGGGCAACCCUGAUCCAGCCAUGCCGCGUGUGUGAAGAAGGCCCUCGGGUUGUAAAGCACUUUCAGUGAGGAAGAACGCCUGGUGGUUAAUACCCAUCAGGAAAGACAUCACUCACAGAAGAAGCACCGGCUAACUCCGUGCCAGCAGCCGCGGUAAUACGGAGGGUGCGAGCGUUAAUCGGAAUUACUGGGCGUAAAGCGCGCGUAGGUGGCUUGAUAAGCCGGUUGUGAAAGCCCCGGGCUCAACCUGGGAACGGCAUCCGGAACUGUCAAGCUAGAGUGCAGGAGAGGAAGGUAGAAUUCCCGGUGUAGCGGUGAAAUGCGUAGAGAUCGGGAGGAAUACCAGUGGCGAAGGCGGCCUUCUGGACUGACACUGACACUGAGGUGCGAAAGCGUGGGUAGCAAACAGGAUUAGAUACCCUUGUAGUC